CAUGACCAUGGUCCCCUCAGGGUUCCCCAGACCCUCCUCCUUCACCAGAAGCACCUCUGGACCCUCCUCCUCCAGGAAAAGACAGACAUCUCAGCUUGGAUGUCAGCCCACGACCUCAAGUUCAACCUCGACAAGACGGAGCUGCUUAUCUUCCUGGGGAAGGCCUGCCUGCUCCAAGACCUCUCCAUCACGGUUGACAACUCCACGGCGUCCCCCACUCAGAGUGCAGAGAAUAUCAAAGCAAUGGCUCACUCCUGCAGGUUCAUGCUCUGACAAGUGUGACCAUUCCUCACACAGGAAGCUCCUCAGGUCCUAAUCCAGGCUAUUUUCAUCUCCCUGUUUACACGACUGCAACUCUCUGUUGGCUGGGCUCCCUGCUUGUGCCAUCAAACCCCUGCAACUUAUCUAGAACACUGCAAUUUCCCAAGUUCUCCCAUGUCUCCUCGCUCCUCAGCACACUAUACUGGCUUCCAGUCGAAGCUCACAUCCACUACAAGACCAUGGUGCUUGCCUACAGAGCAGCAAGGGGAACUGUCCCUCCCUACCUUCAGGCUAUGCUCAAACUCUACACCCCCCGCCACCUCUGGUCUCUUGGCCGUCUCACUAAACAUGUCAAGCAGAUCAAGAGAUACAGUGCCUUCAGAAAGUAUUCAUACCCCUCAACUUAUUCCACAUUUUGUUGUAUUACAGCCCACAUUCAAAAUUGUUUAAAUAGAUUUUGUCUCACACAUCUUCACAUAAUGACAGAGUGAAAACAUGUUUUUAGACAUUUUUGCAAAUUUAUUGAAAAUGAAAUCUCAUUUACAUAGCUGUAAUUGCUGCCAAAGGUGAUUAUAACAUGUAUUGACUCAGGGGUGUGAAUACCUGAGUCUUUCUGGGUAAGUCUCUAAGAGCUUUCCACACCUGGAUUUUUAUUUUCAAAAUUCUUCCAAGCUCUGUCAAAUUGAUUGUUGAUCAUUGCUAGAAAAACAUUUCCAGGUCUUGUCUUAGAUUUUCAAGUAGAUUUAAGUCAAAACUACAGUAACUCGGCCACUGAGGAACAUUCACUGUCAUCUUCUUCGUAAGCAACUCCAGUGUAGAUUUGGCCUUGUGUUUUAGGUUCUUGCCCUGAUGAAAGGUGAAUUCUUCUCCCAGUGGUUGGUGGAAAGCAGACUGAACCAGGUUUUCCUUUAGGAUUUUGCCUGUGCUAAGCUCCAUUCCAUUUUUUUAAAUCCUGAAAAACUCCCCAGUCCUUAAUGAUUACAAGCAUACCCAUAACAUGAAGCAGCCACCACUAUGCUUGAAAAUAUGGAGAGUGGUACUCUGUAAUGUGUUAUAUUAGAUUUGCAUUAAACAUAACACCUUGUAUUCCGGACAAAAAGUUAAUUGCUAUACCACAUUUUUUUGCAGGAUUACUUUAGUGCCUUGUUGCAAACAGGACGCAUGAUUUGGAAUAUUUUCCUUCUUUUCACUCUGUCAAUUAGGUUAGUUUUGUGGAGUAUCUACAAUGUUGUUGAUACAUCCUCAGUUUUCCAUCACUGCCAUUAAACUCUUAACUGUUUUAAAGUCACCAUUGGCCUCAUGGUGAAAUCCCUGAGUGGUUUCCUUUCUUUCCGGCAACGGAGUUAGGAAGGCCAUCUAUCUUUGUAGUGACUGGGUGUAUUGAUACACCAUCCAAAGUGUAAUUAAUAAAGUCACCAUGCUCAAGGGGAUAUUCAAUGUCUGCUUUUUGUUUUGUUUUUACCCAUCUACCAAUAGGUGCCUUUCUUUGCAAGGUAUUGGAAAACCUCCCUGCUCUUUGUGGUUGAAUCGGUAUUUGAAAUUCACUGCUCACCUGAGAGACCUUACUGAUAAUUGUAUCUGUGGGAUAGAUGAGGUAGUUAUUUAAAAAUAAUGUUAAACACUAUCAUUGCACACAGAGUGAGUCCAUGCAACUUAUGCGACUUCAGCAAAACAAAAUGUACUCCUGAACUUAUUUAGGCUUGCCAUAACAAAGGAGUUAAAUACUUAUUGUCUCAAGACAUUCAGCUCUGAUCCAAUUCUGAUCGGAGUAGUAGUUUGAUAUUGUGAUGUGUGUGAUUUCUUUUACUUGUCCAUUUGGACACCUUAAAUCUAUAUUCCUCUUGUGCGACUAUUUUUGACUAUUUAUUUUACUUUAUUUCCCAGACGAGGACAAAGCGUGAAAGAGCAACUGCCCCUAAAAAGCAACUAAUCCCUUUGAAAACAGCCUGUGUGGUAUCGAUAUGAGUCAGAAACAUUUAUUCUAGUGUCAAAAUUGACUACUAAGUAGGAUAUUUUUGGUCCUGAGUGGCGCAAUGGUUUAAGACACUGCAUCUCAGUGCAAGAGGCAUCACUGCAGUACCUGGUUCGAAUCCAGGCUGCAUCACAUCCGGCUGUGAUUGGGAGUCCCAUAGGGCAGUGCACAAUUUGCCCAGCGUCGUAUGGGUUUGGCUUGGAUAGGCCAUUAUUGUAAAUAAGAAUUUGUUCUUAACUGACUUGCCUAGUUAAAUAAAGGUUACAUUAAAAAAAUAUAUCUCUUCUAAAACAGAGUUUGGAACCUCAUCUUAAAAAUUUGUUUUAUUUUUUUGCUUUUUGGUCUUAAUUUAAGGUUAGGGUUAGGCAAAAGUUUAGCAUUGUGGUAAAGGUUAGGUUUAAAAUCACAUUUUAAUAAAAGAUACAUUUUAGAAAUAGGCUGGGUUUCUGACUUUGUGGCUGUGGUAACUAGUGACAACCUAGUAUUAGCUCGACUCCGAGUUAAUAGCCUGGUGACAGACUGCUUCAUCAACAAUGGUAAAUGUGUGAUAUGUGAAAAGAUGUAUAAAAAAAUACCCGGUUUGAUGAGCUAGUAGGUGAAUUACUCAGCCAAGCAGAUAGAAGUAGUAGAUCAUUUUGGUUGUGAAGUGCAUUAUCAAACGUGUUCUCCUUUCUUUAUAACAAAAUGCAAUUAACCCCGUGGCUGUCUAUUGUAUAACGCUGUCACAGGCUCUCCCAGUCAACACCACCUCAUAAUAUGAGGAAGUAAAUUGUUUAUAAGGAUUGCCUGCUGCAGUUGUUUGAGAGAUGUCCAGUUUGCAGCCGAACAGCCAACAUAGAGAAGACCAGCAAGGGGACCCUCAACAUUACGCAGACAUGCACUCGGUGUGAGCAUUCCUAUAAAUGGAACAGGGAGGACACUUGAAUCAGAGGCUGCUGAGUGGAGGACGACUCAUAACGGCACGAAUGGAAAGUUUGAUGUAUUUGAUACCAUUCAACUUAUUCCAGUCCAGCUGUUACCAUGAGCCCAUCCCGCCAAUUAAGGUGCCACCAACCUGAUCUACAAUGGCAAAGACCUCACCUCCAGCCUCACCUCGUUUGCGCAACAACGAUUGUCGAUAAGUAGACCAGAAUUAGGUAGGUUUAGUCUGACCUGUUAAAACUUCAACACAGUAUGUUUGUCAGAUAUCACCAAUCCUAACUGCCAUUGGUAAUAGAACAGUGACUGUGUAUAUGUUGACGGAUGCAUCUAUGGAGCCAGCACUUGGAGACUUGCAAGGUGAUGUGGAGUCCUGACCGACAGACAGGCUCGAGUCUCUGAAUGGAGAGACCUGGCAUUCGGCAUAAACAUAUUACUAGAUAACUUUUCCUUGCAUUGUCUUUUUUUAUUAUUGAAUUAAAUGGUAUCAGUCAAUACGGGGAGGGAGAAACUGUUUAUUCUGCACCAGGAUCAGGGAACUCCUGUUUUAUACGGUACACAAAACAUGAAGGUAUGACCACUGAUAUGUUUGCUAAGGCAGCCACAUUAGCGCCAGACAAAAUGCAGAUAGGCAGAGUAUCUGUAUCGGCUGGGAAUGACAAUGAAAGGUCAAAGGUUCACAUUGUUAUAUUAGCAGAACACUGCUUCUAUGUUAUUAUGUAAAGUGUUGUUUAUUCUACAUGGACCCGUUACUACGCUUGAAAGUUAUCAAAAUACUUAGUUUAGAAUAUUUACAUAAAUUUAGCAAUCACAUUCUUGUCGUUUUUACACUGUAGGCUACUGACCUAUUCAAAGCUUCCCCCGGCAUCUCACCAUACAUCUAUCAUCUGCCUGUAGUUAUUGUACUCAACAAGCAGAAGGUUUGUUUGU